AGAGUUGGACCUGCCCGGUGAUUAGUCAAAUCCUGGAGUUAAAUGAUGAGGGGUUUAUUUUAACGGCUGCAAUUAAUAAUUGUGCUAAGGUAGCGUAAUCAUUUGCCCCUUAAUUAGGGGAAGGUAUGAAUGGUUUGACGUGGGAGUGUCUGUCUCCUUUGCAUGAAAAGAAGUUUAUUUUUAAGUGAAAAAGCUUAAAUGUUUAUAAAAGACGAGAAGACCCUAUCGAACUUGAUUUAGGUAUUUAAGUUUUUAAAUGUUGAAAGUUUAGUUGGGGAAACUUAAAGUAAAAGGUAACGUUUUAUUUUAAUCAAAGGAUCCUGCAAUGUGGAUAAAAUGAAAAAGUUACCGUAGGGAUAACAGCGCUUUCUUCUCUGAGAGGACUAAUUAAAGAGAAGGUUGCGACCUCGAUGUUGGAUUAAAAUUUCUCUUUGGGGCAGGGGUUAAAGAAGUAAGACUGUUCGUCUUU
rnacentral:rRNA from 1 species